UACAGAGGUCUCAAGCGUUGUUCGGAAUCACUGGGCGUAAAGGGUGCGUAGGCCGCACGGUAAGUCAGAGGUGAAAUCCCGGAGCUCAACUCCGGAAUGGCCUCCGAUACUGCCGUGCUCGAGGACUGGAGAGGAGUCUGGAAUUCGCAGUGGAGCAGUGAAAUGCGUAGAUAUUGUGAGGAACACUAGUGGCGAAGGCGAGACUCUGGACAGUUCCUGACGCUGAGGCACGAAGGCCAGGGGAGCAAACGGG
rnacentral:rRNA from 1 species